UUCAACUUUAUCAGUGACAGGUACUGUGAAGAAGAUCCAGAUCAGGCAGGCAAUCUAACUGCAGCAAAUUAAGUCUAGACUCUCAGCCUGGUCAAGGAGAUGACUGACAGACAAACUGGAACAAUAUGGGUGUUCAAGAUAAAGUCACAAUUCAAG